GCUGAAAUAGCUCAGUUGGGAGAGCGUUAGACUGAAGAUCUAAAGGAUCCCUGGUUCAAGUCCCGGGUUUUGGCA